rnacentral:rRNA from 1 species
AACGAACGCUGGCGGCAUGCCUAACACAUGGAAGUCGAACGAGACCUUCGGGUCUAGUGGCGCACGGGUGCGUAACGCGUGGGAACCUGCCCUUAGGUUCGGUAUAACUCCCCGAAAGGGGUGCUAAUACCGGAUAAUGUCUUCGGACCAAAGAUUUAUCGCCUUUGGAUGGGCCCGCGUUGGAUUAGCUAGUUGGUAGGGUAAAAGCCUACCAAGGCGACGAUCCAUAGCUGGUCUGAGAGGAUGAUCAGCCACACUGGGACUGAGACACGGCCCAGACUCCUACGGGAGGCAGCAGUGGGGAAUAUUGGACAAUGGGCGAAAGCCUGAUCCAGCAAUGCCGCGUGAGUGAUGAAGGCCUUAGGGUUGUAAAGCUCUUUUACCCGGGAUGAUAAUGACAGUACCGGGAGAAUAAGCUCCGGCUAACUCCGUG